UACCCUUGACAUGUACGGAAUUUUACUGAGAAGUAGGAGUGCCUGAAAGGGAACCGUAACAC
rnacentral:rRNA from 1 species